rnacentral:rRNA from 1 species
AACGAACGCUGGCGGCAGGCUUAACACAUGCAAGUCGAGCGCCCCGCAAGGGGAGCGGCAGACGGGUGAGUAACGCGUGGGAAUCUACCCAUCUCUACGGAAUAACGCAUGGAAACGUGUGCUAAUACCGUAUACGUCCUUCGGGAGAAAGAUUUAUCGGAGAUGGAUGGGCCCGCGUUGGAUUAGCUAGUUGGUGGGGUAAAGGCCAACCAAGGCGAAGAUCCAUAGCUGGUCUGAGAGGAUGAUCAGCCACACUGGGACUGAGACACGGCCCAGACUCCUACGGGAGGCAGCAGUGGGGAAUAUUGGACAAUGGGCGCAAGCCUGAUCCAGCCAUGCCGCGUGAGUGAUGAAGGCCCUAGGGUUGUAAAGCUCUUUCACCGGUGAAGAUAAUGACGGUAACCGGAGAAGAAGCCCCGGCUAACUUCGUGCCAGCAGCCGCCGUAACAC